rnacentral:rRNA from 1 species
UCAGACGAUGCGUCAUGCAUAUCAAUAAGCGGAGGAAAAGAAACUAACAAGGAUUCCCCUAGUAACGGCGAGUGAAGCGGGAAGAGCUCAAAUUUGAAAUCUUAAAGGGUUUCCCUUUACGAAUUGUAGUUUAAAGAAGUGUUUUCUGUUGAGGUUUUGGUAAAAGUUCUUUGGAAUAGGACAUCAUAGAGGGUGAGAAUCCCGUAUUUGACCUUUACUUUCAACUUUGUGAUACACUUUCAAAGAGUCGGAUUGUUUGGGAAUGCAGUCCAAAAUGGGUGGUAAAUUUCAUCUAAAGCUAAAUAUUGGCGAGAGACCGAUAGCGAACAAGUACCGUGAGGGAAAGAUGAAAAGAACUUUGAAAAGAGAGUUAAACAGUACGUGAAAUUGUCAAAAGGGAAGCGUUUGACACCAGUGUUGUUUUUCUGAAAAUCAAUUAAAGAACUGUUUAUGCUAAGCUGUUUAGACUUUAUCAGCUAUCUGUUUAGUUUUGAGCUUUUCUUUAAUGCACUUUUCAGUUAACAAGUCAACAUCAAUUUCUUUUGCUGUAAAAAAGCUUGAGGAAGGUGGCUUGAGAUUCGUCUUAAGUGUUUAUAGCCUCUUGCCUAUGCAGUCGGAGAGAUUGAGGUCUGCAGCGUAGAUCCUUCGGGGCUAAAUGCAUUUGUGCUAAGUUAUAGCAUUUUAUAGACAACUUGUUGACUAUGACUUGUCUUGUAGCUUACUCGCUUAUGUUAUUUUACCUACGCUUAGGAUGUUGACACACGCGCGUGCUCG